AGUGAACGCUGGCGGCGUGCUUAACACAUGCAAGUCGAACGAGAACGGGUUAUAGCUUGCUAUAAUUGUCAGCUAAGUGGCGCACGGGUGAGUAAUGUAUAGGUAAUAUGCCUCUUACUAAGGGAUAACAAAUGGAAACGUUUGCUAAUACCUUAUACUCCUUAUUAACAGAAGUUAAUAAGGGAAAGAUUUAUUGGUACGAGCUUAGCCUGUAUUGUAUCAGUUAGUUGGUGGGGUAAUGGCUUACCAAGACUAUGACACAUAACUGGUUUGAGAGGAUGAUCAGUCACACUGGAACUGAGACACGGUCCAGACUCCUACGGGAGGCAGCAGUGGGGAAUAUUGCACAAUGGACGAAAGUCUGAUGCAGCAACGCCGCGUGGAGGAUGACACAUUUCGGUGCGUAAACUCCUUUUAUAUGAGAAGAUAAUGACGGUAUUAUAUGAAUAAGCACCGGCUAACUCCGUGCCAGCCGCCGCUUAACAC
rnacentral:rRNA from 1 species